AAGAAGACGUCGGCUACCGGAAAAGCUGAAAACUGCUGCAGGGAAGUCAUCAAUUCGGAAUAAAAAUAAACAAAUUAAAAAGUCAAAAGACGGGUAGAAAUUAGCCUUCUUUUACAAGCCAUUGGAACAAAGGCCGCGGUUUAAACAGCUUAAGCGGCUAACCCGCUUUGCAGUUAACGCGGUUGACUUUUUUUUAGGUAGCUAGCUUAGCCCCAGCUAACUGACGUGACGCCAUCUCCUGCCAAAUAACGAUAAAAAAGGACCAAGCAUGUCGGACGACUGCGAGUUCAGCGAGGACAUGAGCAUCAUGAGGAUGGAGGAGGACGGCGAGGCGUACAGCGACGACCCCAUGACGACGGCGGCGGGCAGCGAUAGCGGCCUGACUGGGGGCGAGGCCGAGGGGGCGCGGAUCGACGCCAGCAAGAAUGAGGAGGAUGAAGGGAAGGUGUUUGUCGGAGGCCUGAGCUGGGACACCACCAAGAAGGACCUGAAAGAUUACUUCACUAAGUUUGGAGAGGUUAUAGACUGCACCCUGAAACUGGACCCCAUGACGGGCCGCUCCAGGGGUUUCGGUUUUGUGCUCUUCAAGGACGUGGAAAGCGUGGACAAGGUCACCUCUCAGAAGGAACACAAGCUCAAUGGAAAGGUCAUCGACCCCAAGAAGGCCAAGGCCAUGAAAAGCAAAGAGGCCGUCAAAAAGAUCUUUGUGGGCGGUCUCUCCCCGGAUACCCCCGAGGAGAAAGUCAGAGAGUACUUUGCUGCCUUUGGAGAGGUGGAGUCCAUCGAGCUUCCCAUGGAGAGCAAAACCAACAAAAGGCGGGGCUUCUGCUUCAUCACCUUCAAAGAGGAGGAGGCAGUCAAGACCAUCAUGGAGAAGAAGUACCACAACAUCGGCCUGAGCAAGUGCGAAGUGAAGGUGGCCAUGUCCAAGGAGCAGUACCAGCAGCAGCAGUACUGGGGAGGAAGAGGAGGAUACUCCCCCAGGUCUCGAGGAAGAGGCGGCGGUCCCACUCAACACUGGAACCAGGGUUACGGCAACUACUGGAGUCAAGGUUAUGGCAACUAUGGCUAUGGCAACCACGGAUACGGAGGAUAUGGUGGCUAUGAUUACUCCGGAUACGGCAACUACUAUGGAUAUGGUGACGAAGGCAAUCCGUCUGCUGGCUACGGCAAGUCACCACGGCGCCCUGUUCACAGCAACAGUUACAGGCCGUACUAGAGUGUGUGUGGGGAAAGCUUGCCAAGACGAAAAGCAGGUAUGCACACAGCAAGAUUGCAUCCCUCAGCAUAAGACGUAACCUAGUGACAUUACUUAAGUGUUUGGUAAUAUAACGUGUAAUUGAUACAUUUUCUUUUUCUCAGCACCGUCAAAGUGCUUUACAGUAGCGCUAACAUAGAGGCUAACCCCUGCAGCCUCUUUUUGCACAAGUUUUUUUUUUUUUGGUCCUGUUUUUCUUUCUCUUUUAACUGUAAAGUUAACAGCGGAGCUUCCUUGCAGGCCAUGAGCUGACUCCCAGAUACUCUCAGGGCCCGCUCAAUGCGGACCGGGUACGAGAAGCAUACGCUCUCGAUUGCUGCCGUUUGGUAUGGUCUCACAACAUCCCUGUAUCCGCAUUUCUCAAACUCAAACCAUAUGGGACAAUACGUGCAGCUUUCACCUUCCUUUCCCCAUUUUGGUUCUUUUGUUUUUUGGACUUGUAUGCAAGUGUGCAGUAAUGUUGGUGUAAAGGUUAAAUUUACGUACAUGUAAUGGUCAUUCUUUACAGGCCCUUACCGCCCCCCCCUCACAAGCAAUAAUGAUAAUAUUAUGCUCCUUAAAGGUUACUACAGCUGGAUGCAAGCUGCUUGUUUGUUGUCCAUGAGCUAACAGCUUGUAUGGACGCUGCCGUUGUGUUGGGGGGGAAAAGUGCUUUACUUGGUUCGACGUGUCUUCUCUGUGGAACUGACUCCUGUAACCUUUUUUUUUUCUCAUGUAAAAAAAAAAACAUGUAACGCAAGAAGAAUUGCAAGCACAUUUCACAGAAACUUGCACGGAAUGUUCCUUUUUUUUUGUAAAUGUGUAUCUUUUGACCAAAUGUUUCCUUCUAGUUCACCUCCAGAUCUUUUGCUAUUUAAAGUGUUUAAAUGUAAAUUUAUACGUUUUUGACAUGCUAUUUCCUGUUGCGCCUUUUAAGGGUGUCGAUGUGAGCUGACGUCGGUGUGUCUUUUUCUCAGGUGUCGGAGCAACCAGGCUGGCUGGCUGGCGAGUGGGCCGGGCUGCGGCAACAACGCCCUCGUGCUGAUUGUAAGAAAACAAAACAAAACUGAAGCGCACUGUCGCACGUCGUCUUUAUUUACCAGCGCUUUUUUGGAGAUUUUGGGGAUUUUUUUUUGCCUUUUCUUUUUUUAGAAGAGUUUUAACGUCUUUCUCUUUGUUUUGUUUUUGUAUUUUAACAUCCUCUCGUGCUGUUUGUGAAUCACUUCAUUUAUUAGAGACAGCACACAUUUAUUUACAGCCCUGUGGUAGCAUAGACACACAGUAGGUUAUGUUCAUCAGUCCUAUAUCAAACAUAUAUACAGUACACACACACAUACACACACACAGAUCAUGUAUUAAACACAGGCAAGUGUGAGAAAACAAUAAAACACAAUUUGGUAUCUGAACUUUGGUAAAGGAUUCAUUUAGUGGGAGGAAUUGGCGUGGAGUGUUUACGCAAGCAAUCAAAAAAGCGUCCGCAAGGCUUGAAGAUUCUUCUCAGACUGCAUGGUGAUGGAGUUAAAUGACAUUAGUAGCAAAGAGGAUGAUGAGGAUGAGGACCACCAGCACCACCACACCGAUUAGGAUCAUCAUUUUGAU